CUGCUCCUUGGGGCAUCUCGGGUGCCCUGGCUCCCGGCUCAGGAGAGGGCUCUUUUUUCUGAAAUGGCUCAUUAAUGCUUGCAUUCCAGAAGAGGAAGCCUCCACAGGCACCCCUCUGCCCCUGAGCAGGCCACAACAAAGGACCAGCUUCCGAGCAGGCAAACUAAUUAAAACCAGAGCUGCAGGGACAGAAUGACAAUAGAAGAGCUCUACUUGUAGCAUUAAUUUUCUACUAAAGAUCUCAUUAAAAAAAAAAAAUGCACCCAAAAAGGGGGAACUGUGGAGAAUUAGGGUGAGGCAGUUAGGGCUGGGGCAGUGCAGUUUUGUGCAUUGAUUCCAAAUGGUGAGAGUUAUUCCAGUGAUCCCGAUGUGUGAUUCUAAUUCUAUGCAGCCCAGGUUUGGGGCAUCCAACUUAGGAGAUGUUUGGGUUCAUUUUUAAGUAGUCUUUUCCCCUCCAGCCAUAAAAUCAAAUAAGAUAAAACCCUCUGACCUAGGUGUUAGUCUGAAUCUAUGGCUUAAAAAAAAAAUAAUCGGGGAGUUCCCUUUGCGGCUCAGCAGGUUAAGAACUCAGCUUAGUGUCCAUGAAGAUGCAGGUUCAAUCCCUAGUCUCGCUCAGUGGGUUAAGGAUGUGGUGUUGCCGUGAGCUGUGGUGUAGGUCGCAGGCGUGGCUUGGAUCCGGUGUUGCUGUACCUGUGGUGUUGCCUACAGCUCUGAUAUGACCCCUAGCCAGGGAACUAACAUAUGCCACAGGUGUGGCCAUGACAAAGAAAAUAACAUANUAAAACAAGGAGUUUGUAGGCUUCCAUUUUUCCCCUUGUUUCAAACAAUUUCAACGGACCGUAAUUCCUGGGGGGCCUAUGUUUCCCCUCCUCCUAUCAAAUCUUAACAAACAGAUAUUUUUCUAGUGAGCGGGUAGACGGCUUUCUGGCUGCACCUGUCCAUGAUCAUGAACAGGCGGGUGAGAGGUGAGUGCUACCAGUGAAUAUUAAAAACAACUCUAUCUGCCAUGAACACUCCCUAGAAAGCCGAUGGGGGUCCUGGGAAUUUCGGUGUUUGGAAAUUAUACAAGGUAUUCUGGAAGAACAUGAAAGGUAUCAUGGGUUGUUUUAGGGUCCAUUUCUGAUCAGAUCAAGUGUGUCCAAAAGGUUUUACUGUUGUGUGAAAUAAGGAGAGAAGAGCUCCCAUGUCUGGCUGUGCUUAAGCGUUUCUAGGUGUUGAGGCACUGCUUUGUUCUGAUGGUGCCAGGCUUAACAAAGGAAUAAAGAAGCAGGGUGGGAUCUCUCCUAAGCAGAAGUAGAGACAGAGGAGCUAUGGCUGAAGGGUGGCAUCCACCUCCACGUGAGCUGGGGGAGGGUGGUGAGAGGGAGCUGGGGCCAUAUAUCCUGGCCCCCUUGCCUCUGUUGACUGUGCUUCAUCCCUUGAUCCCCCCGAAGCUGCUCUUGAUUCUUUCUGGCCUGUUAGGAAUUCUUUAUUUCGCUUAGCCCUGUCUGCAGUUACUUUCUUCACUUUCUGGUUCAUUGCCUGGUCCCCUCCAUCUGUUUAGGGACAUGUCUCUUGUUUUCUGCUGCAUUCCAGGCACCUCCAGCAAUCUAGCAUCCAGUCAGGGGCCAGUAGCUAGUUGUUGAAUUAAAGAAAAUCCCUUCCCUCCUGACCAGACAGUUCACACAGCUAUUCCAGGAAACACUGCAUGACAUUAUGGUUUGUCUUUAUCUGAUACCCCUCCUCCAUGUUCCUAUAAAACGAUAGCAGAGGACAUUGUCCAAGGCUUACCUGACUCAAGAAUUUAAAAAAAAAAAAAAAAAGGAGUACCUGUUAUGGUGCAGCAGAAACGAAUCUGAUUAGGAACCAUGAGGUUUCAGGUUCGAUCACUGGCCUUGCUCAGUGGGUUAAGGAUCCGGCAUUGCCAUGAGCUGUGGUAUAGGUCGCAGACACGGCUUGGAUUCUGCGUUGUUAUGCCUGUCCGUGUUGCUGUGGCUGUGGUGUAGACCAGCAGCUGUAGCUCCAGUUUGACCCCUAGCCUGGGAAAUAAGGAGAAUGCUCCAUAUGCUGCAGGUAUGGCCCUAAAAAG
rnacentral:lncRNA from 1 species